rnacentral:rRNA from 1 species
AGGACGAACGCUGGCGGCGUGCUUAACACAUGCAAGUCGAGCGGAAAGGCCCUUCGGGGUACUCGAGCGGCGAACGGGUGAGUAACACGUGAGUAAUCUGCCCCUAGCUCUGGGAUAGCUCCGGGAAACCGGGAUUAAUACCAGAUAUGACCACUUUAGACAUCUGCUGUGGUGGAAAGAAUUUCGGCUAGGGAUGAGCUCGCGGCCUAUCAGCUUGUUGGUGGGGUAACGGCCUACCAAGGCGACGACGGGUAGCCGGCCUGAGAGGGCGACCGGCCACACUGGGACUGAGACACGGCCCAGACUCCUACGGGAGGCAGCAGUGGGGAAUAUUGCGCAAUGGGCGAAAGCCUGACGCAGCGACGCCGCGUGGGGGAUGAAGGCCUUCGGGUUGUAAACCCCUUUCAGCAGGGACGAAGCGAAGUGACGGUACUGCAGAAGAAGCGCCGGCUAACUACGUGCCAGCAGCCGC